CAGAGGCUGGAGGCCCGGGGGACGAGGCCGGGGUCGGGGGUGGCCGCGCGAGGGGGUACUGGGAUCGGCCGGACCCCGCGGUUGCGCCCAGGCUGGGACUCCCGGGCUCCUUUUGUGAGCGGAAGGCAGGGCCCUCCCCGGGUCUCUGAAAAUGGAACAGGCAGAAGACUUUUCUCGAACCUGUUUGCAGAGAGCCGUCUUGCCCGCUUUGAGGGUCCUUUCUCGGGAGACCUGUUUGCUUUGUUCAACGUCUGAAUUCAGCAGACCCAAAAUCCACCAAGGCCACUAGCUUAUGAGUGAAUGUGGUCCCUUCAGGUAAGGGCCAGACAGCCCCUGCCAGGGCUUGGGGAGGGUUUUCCUAGAGGAAUCCUGGCAGUAAAAAAACCAGCCCCCAAACUCUCCAAGUGCUGGACGCUGGAGAAUCCCAGCAAGGAAAAGGAACAAAUCUUAUCUCAUGCCGUUUGAUAACCUCUUCCCUUUGUUGGCGCUUUUCCUUGCGUUCAGGAUGAAUUAAAAUUCUUCUCUGCUCUGCAGCCAGUGAA